rnacentral:rRNA from 1 species
CCUACAUGAAGCUGGAGUUACUAGUAAUCGCAGAUCAGAAUGCUGCGGUGAAUGCGUUCCCGGGUCUUGUACACACCGCCCGUCACACCACGGAAGGUUGGGGCGCCCGAAGCCACUUAGCUAACCCUUUUGGGAAGCGAGUGUCGAAGGUGAAAUCAAUAACUGGGGUGAAGUCGUAACAAGGUACC